UCUACGGUAAUUUGUUUUAGAGUUAUACCAACAACCAAAAUGAUUUUGUCGAAAACCAAUUUUGCAUAAAAAUUCCCGUUUUUCCUUGAUUUUUCCAGUGCUUUUGAAUACUACUGGAAAUAUUGACAUUCCCAAUGCACCAACAAGAUUCAUUUUCCCAUCGAACAAGAUACUGAAGUUGAAAAUCGAAGCAUUACUUCGACUGCUUAUCGUGUACAGACACAAAAAAAAACACAUCAUUGUAAAACAAUACAUUUAUCACUCAGCUCAGAAUCUAAAAUAGAGUUUUCAGGCUGAACACGUCGACGUUUUCUGGAUUUAAAUAAUUUGCCUUCAUGGGCAUGAUAUUAGUGGAUCAAUUACAUUAAUACUACCUUAAAUUAACUUAAAAUUAACUUUCAGAGGUAUGUGCAAAUUUAAAAUAGAUUUGGCUGACUUGGAGUCUAAGUUGGAGACUAGGGCCAGGAUCACAAUACUACUGGCUACUGCUGCUAUAAAUAAUAAUAUACCUGUAUAAUUAUAUAUUUUAUUAUAUUAUAAUAUUAUAGUAGUAUAAUAUUAGAUAGAGUUGUAUAGUUUUUAAGAUCUUAAAUGUAUAUUGACAUAAUGUUACUCUACAAAACUACUUUUUGUCAAGUUUAAGGGUAUUGCGAAUUUAAAUUUAAUAAAUUCCAUUGUUUAUGACAUAGAGACUUCGGCGUCUAUUGAUUAUUCAUUAUAAUACUAUAGUAAUAUAGCAUAGGUACUACUCUUAGUAUUUGCAGAGAUUGAGAAUACAUCACUACAUCAGAUAUCGGUUUAGUCAGUUAUUCUAAACCGCUUAUUCCCGAGCGGUAGCUCUGUUAAAUCAUCUCGUUAUAGUCGAACCCUCUAAAGUAGGUCCCUAGCUGAAACUUAAACAGAAAGGGCAUUCGAAUUCGAAAACAACGUUUAGGUACAGACUACAGUGUUGCCGUCACAACAGUUGUUUAAGCAAAAAUGAAAAUAAUAAAAAUCGAUGCGAGUUAUCAAAUUGUUGUUAAGUCACCUGUCUGUUAUCAAAUAAUGUUUAUUAAAUAACUAGGUAACAAUAAUACAGUUUUAAAUAAGAUUAUAUUACGCUACUUAUGAAGUUAUGAAUGAGUGAUAAUUACUACACACAGUUUCUAUCAUUUUUUUUUUACAUCAAUAAAUAUACUAUAUAUCUGACCUUGCUCAUUGUACAGCUUCAUUUCAGAGCUGCCUAUCAAAAAUUAUUCCAAUGGUCUUUGCGUCAGCGUUUCCAUUGCCAAAUUCAAACACAUUUCGAUCUUGUUAUUUUUGUUGGGCUCUAAUGAUAUUUAUUUGUUACCAAAUUAGUGAUUUUCUUUUUUGAUUACAAUCUACAUAGUAUCUGUAGUCUGCAGCAUACUGUAGGUUUCCGAUUUGCUCAUAUUUUUAUUACAUAUUUGUUUGCGUAAUUAUUUCUAAUUUAAUAAGUGCAUAAUAUAUUAUUUACAUAUUAUUUAUAUUUGUUAUUAAUACAGUUAAUAGUGACUAGUGACAAUCAUUUUACAAUACUACAAUCGUAUAGUGACGAGCUUUUAUUCAUUAUAUUUCGUAAUUAGUAAAAUCAUAACGGAAAAAUAGUAAAAAUUUUAACAAGUAUACGGAGUGUUAUUUUAGAGAUUCUGUAUGUAAUAUUUUGUUUUGAAAUAGUACAAAUUAAAAUUAAAAUAUUGUACAUCAUCAUAAUUUUGUUAAAUUAUUGUUGAUAUUACGUUACUUAGUUAAGAAGUUAAGGACUAAAUAAUAUUAUAUCAAACAUUAAAUACUAUCAACGAGUUAGGUACUUAAUGAAUUUGAUAAAGUGCGUAAACAAAACACAGGUACUAAUAUCUUAUCAUUAAUUAUUUAUAGCUAUUCAGAAGAUUUAUCAACAAAAAAUUGUUUUUGGUUACAAUCGGGAUUAUAUGUUAUAUUUUGUAUAUUAUCUUUACGUAAUCUUGUAAUAUAUUAUAUUGUGUAUAAUAUAUAUAUAUCUAUUUGUGGUAAUUAAAUUUUUAACUGUUAGCAAUAUGCCUUCCCCGAUUAUUAUUAUAAUUGUUAUAAUUAUUAUUACUAUUAUUUUUAUUUGCUGUAAGUAAUAUCUGAAUUAUUACAUAUUUGUUACAAAUUCUGCCAUACCAACCCUAUUAAUUUAGUAAUAGUUGAUACCUUAUAAGAUGUUAGGUUUUUAAUUUGUUACAAUCUAUGACUAGGUAGUGGUCAAAACAAAUUAUUUUGAACGCAAAUGUUUAAUUGUAUUCAGCAGUGGUAUAAUUGUGGAGAAAUGGAAGGCCAAAAUAAAAUGCAUGUUCAACAAAAA